GGGCAGGUAGCUCAGCAGGUAGAGCAACGGACUGAAAAUCCGUGUGUCGGCGGUUCGAUUCCGUCCCUGCCCACCA
rnacentral:tRNA from 1 species